CCUGGCUCAGGACGAACGCUGGCGGCGCGCCUAAUACAUGCAAGUCGAGCGAGAACCAGGACUUCGGUCCUGGGGAGAGCGGCGAACGGGUGCGUAUCACGUGAGCAACCUGCCUCGGAGACCGGAAUAACUCGAGGAAACUCGGGCUAAUGCCGGAUGCCCUCGGUGGACCGCAUGGUCCGGCGAGGAAAUGGAUUCCGCUCCGAGAUGGGCUCGCGGCCUAUCAGCUUGUUGGUGGGGUAACGGCCUACCAAGGCAACGACGGGUAGCUGGUCUGAGAGGACGAUCAGCCACACUGGGACUGAGACACGGCCCAGACUCCUACGGGAGGCAGCAGUAGGGAAUCUUGCGCAAUGGGGGAAACCCUGACGCAGCGACGCCGCGUGCGGGAUGAAGGCCUUCGGGUCGUAAACCGCUUUCAGCAGGGACGAAAUUGACGGUACCUGCAGAAGAAGGCCCGGCCAACUACGUGCCAGCAGCCGCGGUGAUACGUAGGGGUCUAGCGUUGUCCGGAAUUAUUGGGCGUAAAGAGCUCGUAGGCGGUUCGGCAAGUCGGAUGUGAAAUCUCCACGCUUAACGUGGAGGGGCCAUUCGAAACUGCCGUGACUCGAGUCCGGUAGGGGAGUUCGGAAUUCCCGGUGUAGCGGUGAAAUGCGCAGAUAUCGGGAGGAACACCAGUGGCGAAGGCGGAACUCUGGGCCGGAACUGACGCUGAGGAGCGAAAGCGUGGGGAGCGAACAGGAUUAGAUACCCUGGUAGUUCACGCCGUAAACGUUGGGCACUAGGUGUGGGGUUCUAUCGACGGAUUCCGUGCCGUAGCUAACGCAUUAAGUGCCCCGCCUGGGGAGUACGGCCGCAAGGCUAA
rnacentral:rRNA from 1 species